rnacentral:rRNA from 1 species
GGACUACAGGGGUAUCUAAUCCUGUUUGCUACCCACGCUUUCGUGUCUCAGCGUCAGUUACGGUCCAGAGAGCCGUCUACACCACCGGUGUUCCUCCUGAUAUCUACGCAUUUCACCGCUACACCAGGAAUUCCACUCUCCCCUCCCGCACUCUAGUCCCCCAGUUUUCGGCGCACCCUCCCGGUUAAGCCGGGAGAUUUCACACCAAACUUAGAGGACCGCCUACACACCCUUUACGCCCAGUAACUCCGAACAACGCUCGCUGCCUACGUAUUACCGCGGCGGCUGGCAC